ensembl:snRNA U6 U6 spliceosomal RNA
GUGCUCGCUCCGGCAGCACAUGUACUAAAAUUGGAAUGAUAGAAGAUUAGCAUCGCCCGUGCACAAGGAUAACACGCAAACUCGUGAAACGUUCCAUAUUUUU